rnacentral:tRNA from 1 species
ACUAAUAUGGCAGAUAAGUGCAAUGGAUUUAAGCUCCAUAUAUAAAAGAUAUUAACUUUUUAUUAGAA